rnacentral:rRNA from 1 species
UUUGGUGAUGAUGGCAGAGAGGUCACACCCGUUUCCAUACCGAACACGGAAGUUAAGCUCUCUAGCGCCGAUGGUAGUUGGGGCCUUGCCCUGUGAGAGUAGGACGUCGCCAAGC